rnacentral:tmRNA from 1 species
GGGGCUGCUUUUGGCUUCGACGAAAAUAUUAGUAUUUAAUUAGCAAGACGGGUUCUUCCCGUAAUAGAAGAAAAAUUAAACAUAACUGGAAACAGCUAUAAAAACGCUGUUGCUUAUGCCUAACCUAUAGGCGCAACAGGUUCUACUAAUUCUUUGUCUGUGAGAAUUAGAUAGGACUUAUAAAGCAGACUAUAUUAUGAUUUAUGUUUAGACUUCAUAAUGAAUAUCUUUAAACUAGUAAGUAAUUAUGAUUGUGGAUUAUCUAUUUACUUAUGAAAACUAAAAAUCCACUAAUCUUGUAGAAAGUUAAAUAACUUUGUUUGCGGACAGGGGUUCGAGUCCCCUCAGCUCCACCA